UACGGGAGGCAGCAGUGGGGAAUAUUGCACAAUGGGCGCAAGCCUGAUGCAGCCAUGCCGCGUGUAUGAAGAAGGCCUUCGGGUUGUAAAGUACUUUCAGUCGUGAGGAAGGUGUUAAGGUUAAUAACCUUAGCAAUUGACGUUAGCGACAGAAGAAGCACCGGCUAACUCCGUGCCAGCAGCCGCGGUAAUACGGAGGGUGCGAGCGUUAAUCGGAAUUACUGGGCGUAAAGGGCACGCAGGCGGUUAAUUAAGUUGGAUGUGAAAUCCCCGGGCUUAACCUGGGAAUGGCAUUCAAGACUGGUUAGCUAGAGUCUUGUAGAGGGGGUAGAAUUCCAUGUGUAGCGGUGAAAUGCGUAGAGAUGUGGAGGAAUACCGGUGGCGAAGGCGGCCCCUGGACAAGACUGACGCUCAUGUGCGAAGCGUGGGGAGCAACG
rnacentral:rRNA from 1 species